rnacentral:SRP_RNA from 1 species
CCGUACUAGAUGGGGAGUUAGCGGUGCCCUAUAACCUGCAAUCCGCUAUAGCAGGAUUGAAUUCCUCACCGAGGCUUUUAAUCUUUCUGGACUGCCCUAUGUAAGUGAUGUUGAGGGUCGGGUCCCACGCGACGUAAGACUGUGAACCUCGUCAGGUUCGGAAGAAAGCAGCGAUAAGCAGCCCCUGCGUGUGACGUGGAUCAAUCUUACCUGAGUUAACUACAUAGGUAACGCUUAGAGGUUACUGUCAAAGUGAGGUGUACGG